rnacentral:rRNA from 1 species
UACGUAGGGUGCAAGCGUUAAUCGGAAUUACUGGGCGUAAAGCGUGCGCAGGCGGUUAUGUAAGACAGGUGUGAAAUCCCAGGGCUUAACCUUGGAACUGCAUUUGUGACUGCAUAGCUAGAGUACGGUAGAGGGGGAUGGAAUUCCGCGUGUAGCAGUGAAAUGCGUAGAUAUGCGGAGGAACCCCGAUGGCGAAGGCAAUCCCCUGGACCUGUACUGACGCUCAUGCACGAAAGCGUGGGGAGCAAACAGG